rnacentral:rRNA from 1 species
GUUUGAUCCUGGCUCAGAACGAACGCUGGCGGCAGGCUUAACACAUGCAAGUCGAGCGCCCCGCAAGGGGAGCGGCAGACGGGUGAGUAACGCGUGGGAAUCUACCCUUUUCUACGGAAUAACGCAUGGAAACGUGUGCUAAUACCGUAUGAGCCCUUCGGGGGAAAGAUUUAUCGGGAAAGGAUGAGCCCGCGUUGGAUUAGCUAGUUGGUGGGGUAAAGGCCUACCAAGGCGACGAUCCAUAGCUGGUCUGAGAGGAUGAUCAGCCACAUUGGGACUGAGACACGGCCCAAACUCCUACGGGAGGCAGCAGUGGGGAAUAUUGGACAAUGGGCGCAAGCCUGAUCCAGCCAUGCCGCGUGAGUGAUGAAGGCCCUAGGGUUGUAAAGCUCUUUCAC